UACGUAGGGAGCGAGCGUUGUCCGGAAUUACUGGGCGUAAAGGGUGCGUAGGCGGUCAGGCAAGUCAGAUGUGAAAUCCCCGGGCUUAACUCGGGUGGUGCAUUUGAAACUGCUUGACUUGAGUGCAGGAGAGGAAAGCGGAAUUCCUAGUGUAGCGGUGAAAUGCGUAGAUAUUAGGAGGAACACCAGUGGCGAAGGCGGCUUUCUGGACUGUAACUGACGCUGAGGCACGAAAGCGUGGGGAGCAAACAGG
rnacentral:rRNA from 1 species